rnacentral:rRNA from 1 species
CCUACGGGUGGCUGCAGUCGAGAAUCAUUCACAAUGGGGGAAACCCUGAUGGUGCGACGCCGCGUGGGGGAAUGAAGGUCUUCGGAUUGUAAACCCCUGUCAUGUGGGAGCAAAUGAAAAAGAUAGUACCACAAGAGCAGGAGACGUCUAACUCUGUACCAGCAGCCGCGGUAAUACGGAGGUCUCAAGCGUUGUUCGGAAUCACUGGGCGUAAAGCGUGCGUAGGCUGUUUCGUAAGUCGUAUGUGAAAGGCGCGGGCUCAACCCGCGGACGGCACAUGAUACUGCGAGACUAGAGUGAAGGAGGGGGAAGCGGAAUUCUCGGUGUAGCAGUGAAAUGCGUAGAUAUCGAGAGGAACACUAGUGGCGAAGGCGGGUUCCUGGACAUUAACUGACGCUGAGGCACGAAGGCCAGGGGAGCGAAAGGGAUUAGAUACCCGUGUAGUC